AGAAAUAAGAGAACAGUGAAGAAAUUAUGAAGNUUUUUUAUUGAUGGUACAUGACAAGGUAGGGCUCCCCAAGCCCCUCCCCUUCCUUGGGGUCUAGGAUGUAAAUUGGAGUUCAGGAGAUUCUCAGUGUGUUGGGGGAUUAAGUUGGGGCAGAAACUCCCCAGCAGCUGAGGGCCUCUCUCUUCCUCUUGUUCUUGCUGGGGCUGGUGGUCCAGGAGGCUCUUACUCGUUAUUGAUGGUACAUGACAAGGUAGGGCUCCCCAAGCCCCUCCCCUUCCUUGGGGUCUAGGAUGUAAAUUGGAGUUCAGGAGAUUCUCAGUGUGUUGGGGGAUUAAGUUGGGGCAGAAACUCCCCAGCAGCUGAGGGCCUCUCUCUUCCUCUUGUUCUUGCUGGGGCUGGUGGUCCAGGAGGCUCUUACUCGUUGGAGGCCAUGUGGACCAUGAGGUCCACCACCCGGUUGCUGUAGCUGAAUUCAUUGUCAUACCAGGAAAUGAGCUUGACAAAGUGGUCAUUGAGGGCAAUGCCAGCCCCCGCGUCGAAGGUGGAAGAGUGGAUGUCACUGUUGAAGUCACAGGAGACAACCUGGUCCUCAGUGUAGCCCAGGAUGCCCUUGAGGGGGCCCUCUGAUGCCUGCUUCACCACCUUCUUGAUGUCGUCAUAUUUGGCAGUUUUCUCUAGGCGGCAGACUCUGUGCUUAUAUCUUUCAUUCUCUAUCCACAUCCCUGCCUCUCAGAAGACCACCAAAGACGGCAUCAUCAUACCAUGAGAGAUGAACAAGUUGUUGUUGUUGUUUUCUAAUUGGUGAUAGUAAGGAAAAGUCUGAAGAAAACAGUGUCAAUAAAACUGACAAAAGCUAAAAUCA
rnacentral:lncRNA from 1 species